AUUGAACGCUGGCGGCAGGCCUAACACAUGCAAGUCGAACGAGUGGCGGACGGGUGAGUAAUGUCUGGGAAACUGCCUGAUGGAGGGGGAUAACUACUGGAAACGGUAGCUAAUACCGCAUACCAUCGGAUGUGCCCAGAAGGGAUUAGCUAGUAGGUGGGGUAAAGGCUCACCUAGGCGACGAUCCCUAGCUGGUCUGAGAGGAUGACCAGCCACAAUGGAACUGAGACACUGUCCAGACUCCUACGGGAGGCAGCAGGGUGGAAUAUUGCACAAGGGGCGCAAGCCUGAUGUCGCCAUGCGGAGGGUAUGAAGAAGGCCUUCGGGCUGUAAAGUACUUUCAGCGUGGAGGCGUUACCCGCAGAAGAAGCACCGGCUAACUCCGUGACAGCCGCCGCGGUAAUAC
rnacentral:rRNA from 1 species